AGUGAACGCUGGCGGUAGGCCUAACACAUGCAAGUCGAACGGCAGCACAGUAAGAGCUUGCUCUUACGGGUGGCGAGUGGCGGACGGGUGAGGAAUACAUCGGAAUCUACUUUUUCGUGGGGGAUAACGUAGGGAAACUUACGCUAAUACCGCAUACGACCUACGGGUGAAAGCAGGGGAUCUUCGGACCUUGCGCGAUUGAAUGAGCCGAUGUCGGAUUAGCUAGUUGGCGGGGUAAAGGCCCACCAAGGCGACGAUCCGUAGCUGGUCUGAGAGGAUGAUGAGCGACACUGGAACUGAGACACGGUCCAGACUCCUAAGGGAGGCAGAAGUGGGGAAUAUUGGACAAAGGGCGCAAGCCUGAGCCAGACAUACCGCGUGGGUGAAGAAGGCCUUCGGGUUGUAAAGACCUUUUGUUGGGAAAGAAAAGCAGCAGGUUAAUACCCCGCUGUUCUGACGGUACCCAAAGAAUAAGCACCGGCUAACUUCGUG
rnacentral:rRNA from 1 species